AUCGCUUCUCGGCCUUUUGGCUAAGAUCAAGUGUAGUAUCUGUUCUUAUCAGUUUAGAUCGACAUGCAUCUGUUAAAAUGCCAUCCCUUUGCAGCCUUC
rnacentral:snRNA from 1 species